GUACUUGCUUCGGCAGUACAAAUACUAAAAUUGGAACGAUACAGAGAAGAUUAGCAUAUCUUAGAUUAUACACUAAUAUAAAAUAACAUAACUAUAAAU